AAAAAAAUUUGGAAAAAGGACACGUUGUAUAUUGGUAAUUAAGAAUGGUUACAACACAGUUCAUAGUAGUUUGUAUUUCAUUGACAUCUUGUUUUGCGUUUCCUGGUGCGAAGAAGAUAUCCGAUAUGAGUUUAUCUGAAACAGUCAAACACACCAUAAAGGACAUUAACAAAAGAGGGGCAUACAAACGAGAAAUGUCUAAACUUGAACCAUCUAUUCAGGGAUUCUACUUGACUGAUUUGGAUGGAAACGGAUCCAUUUCACCUCACGAAUGGGCACUUGUCUACAGUACAAUGGACGAUGAACGUUUACCAAAAUAUAGUUAUAAUUGGUGGAUAUAUGCAUUUGAGGUUCAGAUCACAGAGCGUGGAUUUGACAGAAAUAACAACGGUCUAAUGGAACUCGGUGAAUAUCUGAUGAUAUAAUGUGAACAGAAAAGUCUCAUAUGCAGUUAACCAUAGAUGUUGAAGCAUCAGAAAGAAAAUUAAAAUUAAAUCUAUUAAAACAAGUUUGUCUUUUAAAUAUAUGUUUAUACAUCUGG